UCAGCCACGAUGAAUGAGUUGCAAGUAACAGAUGGAAGAAUACGAACGAUUUACGGAAGAUUCGGAAGCGAUUCGCAAAGGAUCGCUAAGGAUCACAAGCAUUUCUAAAGAGCCAUGGGUAAGUAUUUAUGGACUGGUUGGGAAUCGGAGGCAACCACGCGUUCCAUGAUCGACGACGAUCUCGCAGAGGCACGAAGAUGGUUCAAGGAGAGGUUGCGAUUGUAGAAAGCAUGAAGGAAGACGAAAAGAGCAGGAGAAAAAGGAAUCGUUGUCACUUUCGUUGGAAGGUGACGGCCACUGUUCGACGAUUUCUGGAAAUCGAUUCUUGGAAGAGAAUUAAACGGUUGUUCGAGGAACAGUGUCUCUUGGAAAGCAUGCAUGAUUGAGAAAGGGUUGAGAAUUCUCAAAACUUUAAAUUGGGUAUUUAAGUAAAUCGAUUGGU